GAUGAACGCUGGCGGCGUGCCUAAUACAUGCAAGUCGAGCGAACAGACGAGGAGCUUGCUCCUCUGACGUUAGCGGCGGACGGGUGAGUAACACGUGGAUAACCUACCUAUAAGACUGGGAUAACUUCGGGAAACCGGAGCUAAUACCGGAUAAUAUAUUGAACCGCAUGGUUCAAUAGUGAAAGACGGUUUUGCUGUCACUUAUAGAUGGAUCCGCGCCGUAUUAGCUAGUUGGUAAGGUAACGGCUUACCAAGGCAACGAUGCGUAGCCGACCUGAGAGGGUGAUCGGCCACACUGGAACUGAGACACGGUCCAGACUCCUACGGGAGGCAGCAGUAGGGAAUCUUCCGCAAUGGGCGAAAGCUUGACGGAGCAACGCCGCGUGAGUGAUGAAGGUCUUCGGAUCGUAAAACUCUGUUAUUAGGGAAGAACAAAUGUGUAAGUAACUAUGCACGUCUUGACGGUACCUAAUCAGAAAGCCACGGCUAACUACGU
rnacentral:rRNA from 1 species